rnacentral:rRNA from 1 species
CUGCUGCCUUCCGUAGGAGUCUGGGCCGUGUCUCAGUCCCAGUGUGGCCGUCCGCCCUCUCAGGCCGGCUACUGAUCGUCGCUUUGGUAGGCCGUUACCCUGCCAACUGGCUAAUCAGACGCGGGCCCAUCCUGUACCACCGGAGUUUUCAGGGAAAAGCCAUGCGGCUUCCCCCGUUAUGCGGUAUUAGCACCUAUUUCUAAGUGUUAUCCCCUCGUACAGGCCAGGUUGUCCCACGCGUUACUCACCCGUCCGCCACCUCA